rnacentral:hammerhead_ribozyme from 1 species
AUCCAGCUGACGAGUUUUAAAUAGGACGAAACAUGCGUCCUGGAU